GACGAACGCUGGCGGCGUGGAUUAGGCAUGCAAGUCGAACGGUAUCAUCCUUUCGGGGGUGAGAGAGUGGCGAACUGGUGAGUAACACGUAGGUUAUCUACCCUCAAGACGGGGACAACCCAGGGAAACUUGGGCUAAUACCGGAUGUGAGCAACUUUUAGUUGUUUGAAAGGUGGCGUAAGCUGUCGCUUGGGGAUGAGCCUGCGUCCUAUUAGUUAGUUGGUGAGGUAACGGCUCACCUAGGCAAUGAUAGGUAGGCGGCCUUAACGGGUGGUCGCCCACACUGGGAUUGAGAUACGGCCCAGACUCCUACGGGAGCAGCAGUCGAGAAUAGUCUACAAUGGCCGGAAGGCUGAUAGUGCGACGCCGCGUUGAAACGAGGGAGCCCCUUGGGGUGUAAAGUUCUUUUCUAUACGAGCAGUGCUAUAUAUAUGGAUAGUAAUAUAUAGAGGGAUAGUAGUAUAGGAAUAAGCAAACGGCUAAACUCCGUGCCCAAGCAGCCGUCGGUAAAGCAACG
rnacentral:rRNA from 1 species